AGACAGAUUAGAUCUGGGACUGGAUCAGUUUUAUGCAAAUAAUCUGUGUGCCUCAACGCUACAAGUGAAGAAAUGCACACAUCAGCUUCUUCAGGUUCUCCAGCCCCGUGCCCCGAGGAGGAGGGACGUAGUAAAUGCUUCUCUUGCCUCCUCUCAUCCACAGCGUUCUCUCCAGGCUGUAUCUCACUGCGCUCACCUCCACCCACUUCCUGUGGGAAUAGCCCAACUGUAUGGGACUAAACGCAUAGACUAGAGCGGUCCAGUGACCCCGGGACCAUCCUGGUCGCGUCCUGGCCUGCCGCUUCCCCCGUGAAGGUCAGCUUUACCUGAAGGGAGCCUGUGCCGGUGCUUCCACAUCUAAGAUAACGAGCCUUUGAAAGGUUUGGACAUGCUCUCAUGGACAGUAAGAACCAGGCCGCCCAACUUCUAGGAACACGUCUUGGAAUCUGAAAGUCAGUGCCUCGCUUUCUGAAAGCUAAUUUUAGAAGCUCUUGAAAUAAUAAAACAAAAACUGAUUGUGUUAACAUACUCUAGUAAAUAAAAAAUAAUUUACCAAUUUAUCUGAAA